UGGCCAUGGUCCAAAAGAAGUAAUUUGAAAGAAUUCAGAGAAGAUUAGCAUGCCCCCCUGUGCAAGGAUGACACGCAAAUUCGUGAAGCAUUCCAUAUUUUU